rnacentral:misc_RNA from 1 species
CGCACCUUGCACUCCUUGGUAUUCCGAGGAGUAUGCCUGUUUGAGUGUCAUGUAAUCAUCAAUCCCACUUACCUUUGUUGGUUCAAGUGCGGCUUGGAUUUGGAGGUUAACUUGCUGGCUUUGUAAUUGAAGUCGGCUCCUCUUGAAGAUAUUAGUCGGAACUCGAUCGCUCUCGUCGUGGUACGCGGUGUGAUAAUUUAUUCACCCAUCGGUAAAUCCACUUCUUGCGGUUCGACUGGCUUCUAACACUUUUUUCGUAAUGAAAAAACUUUGACAAUCUGGCCUCAAAUCAGGUAGGACUACCCGCUGAACUUAA